rnacentral:rRNA from 1 species
UACGUAGGGUCCGAGCGUUGUCCGGAAUUACUGGGCGUAAAGAGCUCGUAGGUGGUUUGUCGCGUUGUUCGUGAAAACUCACAGCUUAACUGUGGGCGUGCGGGCGAUACGGGCAGACUUGAGUACUGCAGGGGAGACUGGAAUUCCUGGUGUAGCGGUGGAAUGCGCAGAUAUCAGGGAGGGAACACCCGGGUGGCGAAGGCGGGUCUCUGGGGCAGUAACUGACGCUGAGGAGCGAAAGCGUGGGGAGCGAACAGG